GAUGAACGCUGGCGGCGUGCUUAACACAUGCAAGUCGAACGGUGAAGCAGGAGCUUGCUCUUGUGGAUCAGUGGCGAACGGGUGAGUAACACGUGAGCAACCUGCCCCUGACUCUGGGAUAAGCGCUGGAAACGGCGUCUAAUACUGGAUAUGUGAUGUGACCGCAUGGUCUGCAUCUGGAAAGAAUUUCGGUUGGGGAUGGGCUCGCGGCCUAUCAGCUUGUUGGUGAGGUAAUGGCUCACCAAGGCGUCGACGGGUAGCCGGCCUGAGAGGGUGACCGGCCACACGGGGACUCAGACACGGCCCAGACGCCUACGGGAGGCAGCAGUGGGGAAUAUUGCACAAUGGGCGGAAGCCUGAUGCAGCAACGCCGCGUGAGGGAUGACGGCCUUCGGGUUGUAAACCUCUUUUAGCAGGGAAGAAGCGAAAGUGACGGUACCUGCAGAAAAAGCACCGGCUAACUACGUGCCAGCCGCCGCUGUAA
rnacentral:rRNA from 1 species